rnacentral:rRNA from 1 species
GACGAACGCUGGCGGUGUGCUUAACACAUGCAAGUCGACCGGAAAGGCCCUGCUUUUGUGGGGUGCUCGAGUGGCGAACGGGUGAGUAACACGUGAGUAACCUGCCCUUGACUUUGGGAUAACUUCAGGAAACUGGGGCUAAUACCGGAUAGGAGCUCCUGCUGCAUGGUGGGGGUUGGAAAGUUUCGGCGGUUGGGGAUGGACUCGCGGCUUAUCAGCUUGUUGGUGGGGUAGUGGCUUACCAAGGCUUUGACGGGUAGCCGGCCUGAGAGGGUGACCGGCCACAUUGGGACUGAGAUACGGCCCAGACUCCUACGGGAGGCAGCAGUGGGGAAUAUUGCACAAUGGGCGGAAGCCUGAUGCGGCAACGCCGCGUGCGGGAUGACGGCCUUCGGGUUGUAAACCGCUUUCGCCUGUGACGAAGCGUGAGUGACGGUAAUGGGUAAAGAAGCACCGGCUAACUACGUG